rnacentral:rRNA from 1 species
UACGUAGGGUGCAGGCGUUAAUCGGAAUUACUGGGCGUAAAGCGUGCGCAGGCGGUUUGCUAAGACAGGUGUGAAAUCCCCGGGCUUAACCUGGGAAUGGCGAUGGAGACUGCGAGGCUAGAGUUUGGCAGAGGGGGGUAGAAUUCCACGUGUAGCAGUGAAAUGCGUAGAGAUGUGGAGGAACACCGAUGGCGAAGGCAGCCCCCUGGGUCAAAACUGACGCGCAUGCACGAAAGCGUGGGGAGCAAACAGG